CAGCCGCCGCGGUAAUACGUAGGGUGCGAGCGUUAAUCGGAAUUACUGGGCGUAAAGCGUGCGCAGGCGGUUGUGUAAGACAGGUGUGAAAUCCCCGGGCUUAACCUGGGAACUGCGCUUGUGACUGCACAGCUAGAGUAUGGCAGAGGGGGGUGGAAUUCCACGUGUAGCAGUGAAUGCGUAGAGAUGUGGAGGAACACCGAUGGCGAAGGCAGCCCCCUGGGCCAAUACUGACGCUCAUGCACGAAAGCGUGGGGAGCAAACAGGAUUAGAUACCCCCGUAGUCCCUGUCUCUUAUACA
rnacentral:rRNA from 1 species